rnacentral:rRNA from 1 species
CAAAAACAUCGCCUCCUGCAAAAAUCAAUGUAUAAGAGGUCCUACCUGCCCAGUGACUAAGUUUAACGGCCGCGGUAUUUUGACCGUGCAAAGGUAGCGCAAUCACUUGUUUUUUAAAUAAAGACCUGUAUGAAUGGUGAAACGAGGGCUUAACUGUCUCCCUUUUCUAAUCAGUGAAAUUGAUUUACCCGUGCAGAAGCGGGUAUGAAUAUACAAGACGAGAAGACCCUAUGGAGCUUAAGACAAAAAAUCAACUGUGUUAAAAACCCCUAAUUAAAGAAAUUCAACAAAACAGUAAUUGAUUAGCGUCUUCGGUUGGGGCGACCACGGGGGAAAACAAAUCCCCCACGCAGAAAGGGAUAUAUUCCCUAAACAACGAGCCACACCUCUAAGUCACAGAACUUCUGACCAUAAGAUCCGGCACUAGCCGAUCAACGGACCAAGUUACCCUAGGGAUAACAGCGCAAUCCCCUUCAAGAGUCCUUAUCGACAAGGGGGUUUACGACCUCGAUGUUGGAUCAGGACAUCCUAAUGGUGCAGCCGCUAUUAAGGGUUCGUUUGUUCAACGAUUAAAGUCCUACGUGAUCUGAG